CACGUAGGGCGCAAGCGUUGUCCGGAAUUAUUGGGCGUAAAGAGCUCGUAGGCGGUCUGUUGCGUCCGCUGUGAAAACUCGGGGCUUAACCCCGAGCCUGCAGUGGAUACGGGCAGACUAGAGGUAGGUAGGGGAGAAUGGAAUUCCCGGUGUAGCGGUGAAGUGCGUAGAUAUCUGGAGGAACACCGGUGGCGAAGGCGGCAUCCUGGACCGGCAUUGACGCUGAGGCGCGAAAGCCAGGGGAGCAAACAGG
rnacentral:rRNA from 1 species